UCGAGUUCACGCGGGAAUUUAUGAUGGAGUUAUACUAAAAUAGCGGGUUUCGAUUUAGGGUUAAAAGAAGGUAGGCUUAUGUAUAGUUAACAUCACUUGAAGAGACGUUUAAGUGUACUACAACGCUAAUUUGACAAGAGUCUAUCAAGUGACAGGCUUAUCUAAUUAUGGAUUUGGUGCCUUUCCAGACUCCAUAGUGACCUCAAACUGUGCAAUAUCCGCCUUCACUGUCUCUCAGAGCAAGGGCAGAAUUCAAAGUGGAAGGAAUUGUGGUGCUUACCAUCUGUAAUCUCUCAGAGGGAAGAAUCAUCUCAUGCUAUGAUUAUAGAGAAGGAACGAGGAUUAUUACCGUGGCCCUGUGAGUGAAGCUCGCUGAUAAAUUCUGUAUUAAGAUGUUCCAGUAUAUUGAAAUUUCUCCCCCACAUGCUGGAGCCGGAGCAAAGAAAGACCAUUACAAUGGUGAGCAAUUUAUUUGUCACGAUAUUUUUUUCUCCCUCUGAAAUAAAAAGCUGUAUCGCUUAUAAGUUUUUUCCCCCCACAAGGCCAUUUUCUCCUUGAGGCACUGGAUCAGGCGGAUGGCGGCUGUUAUUUGUCUAUGCAGUGAGGCUGAACGAAAGAAGAGCUGUGGUGCUUAAGACUGUUCUAAUACCUCCGUUUUCUUGAAUAAUUACCUCCAUCAUAGCUGCUGUGAUCCACAGUGCCCCGGACUCACAAUCCUACUGCUGAAGUCUCUUAAAACAGAGAGACUCAGGUAUACCUUGCACAAAACACGCUGGCUGUUAAAGGUACAGUUGGUCCAUGAAAAAUCAUAAGGUUGCUCCUUCGGUUCUGUUGGUCAGUACAUUUUAUGUCCUCAUCAUAAUCUUAAUAAUAUCAUCUUAAGAUAUUGUAUAAAACAUUCAACUCACAAUAUGUAAAAACAGUAUUCAUUAUUUGUGAUAAUAUUUAAAUUAAUGGUACAAUUUUGAUGUAGGUGGUAACAGUUGUAUUAAAGUGAGUGGAGCGGUUGAAGUGUUGUUACUAAAAACUAUUUAAAGUUUUCCUUUAUUGAAAGCCUAAACAACUUAAAUGAAAAUUAGUAAUGUUGCCUUGGCAACUAAACUGAAAUCAGUUUAGUUACUUAAACUGUAAUAAAAAUAAAUGAAAGCUAAAUGAAAAAAAAAAAAACUAAUAAAAAUUACAAAAGCACAUAAUGAAAUUA